UUGCUUAGGCCAAGGGAACAUCGGUGGUGAAAACAAUGGGCCACAGGUUCCAAGUCUGGGCCUCAAGAGCCCUUGCAACCUUCACUUUCCCUUGGGAAACCUGGGACUGCGAUGGGAACAAGCCCGGGCCAGCCUGCUGGAGAACGGGAGGCUGUGCAGGGGAGAACCGAAACCACCAGCCGAGCUCCGGAAGCCGAGCUGCCCAGUGGCCUUCAGCUGAUGGCAGGCAGGGGAGGAAGCCUGCAGAAACCGGGACGCUCCAACUGAGGACAAAGCCCACAGGUUCUGUGCUCCCAAGAACAUCAAAGAGGAUCUUUUCCAAAUCAUUGUCUCCACUGCCCUCGAUGUCAACAUGGAGUCAGUCAAAACAAGCCCAGCUUCUCUUUUCGACUCCCAAGAGAGUGGCAAAGCAGAGACCCAGAUACUCGGAGGGAGCUGCCUAGUCUGCUAUACAACAUGCUGGUGUGGCCUUUUAAAUUUUGCCCUGGCUUGUUUCUGAAGUUAAGUUCUGGAUGUUAGAAAGAGGUC